AGUUUGUUCCUCCAAAUCUUUAUUGGGCUCGAAAAAUUUUUGAGAAGCAAGGUGCUGCUUUACUAAAAAGUUUGUUGGGAAAAGCCCGUGCAAGACGUGUCAAACCUCAAUGGAUAGGAGAAGAAGUAUGCAUGCUCUGAGCGCUUAUUGGAAUACUGAUGCUGGAUUUCUACAAAAGAGUGCACAAGGUAAGUUAAAUCGAGCAUAUGAUUGUAGCGGGUUUGGAGCAGCUCCUCAUACUACUGGCUCAAUUUCCGUUACCCAACACAAAACUAAUAUGGUGAUGUUAUAGAAAAACUUAGAUAUUUUAUGUUAUAAUUUUAUAUACUUCAGUUGGUAGUUGAUACUCAUAAGUUUUUUAAUUUAUAUUUUUGGUAGAAAAAAUCAUUAAAGAAGACUCCAACACAAUUAGAAUUUUUUGCUAAGACCCACAAACACAAGGAUGAGACAUGGCUGGAUAAGAAAUCAAAACAUGUUGAGAAUGCUAUAGAACAGACUACGCAAAAAGCAUUUGAGGAAGGAAGUAAUGCACCAAAUGAGAUGGAUGUGUUGUGUGAAAUAGCCAGAGUUAAAAAGGGAAGAAUUUAUGGACUUGGAAUAGAAUCCACUGUAAUUGACAAAAGACCUAGUUAUCGUGGCUCUAGUUCUUAGUCAUUCGAUUGGUUACGAUGGUCAGAACAUGAAGAAAUAAUGAAAAAAAUGCAAGAAGAGAACGAUGACUU